CGGGCGCGGGAGACGGAUCGUUUACUUUGAAAAAAUCAGAGUGUUUCAAGCAGGCAGCUCGCUCUUGCAUGGAUUAGCAUGGGAUAAUGAAAUAGGACUCUGGUGCUAUUUUGUUGGUUUCGAACACUGGAGUAAUGAUUAACAGGGACAGCCAGGGGCACUCGUAUUCCGUCGAGAGAGGUGAAAUUCUCAGACCAAUGGAAGACGAACCACUGCGAAAGCAUUUGCCAGGGAUGUUUUCACUGAUCAAGAACGAAAGUUAGGGGAUCGAAGACGAUCAGAUACCGUCGUAGUCUUAACCAUAAACCAUGCCGACUAGGGAUUGGAGGGUGUUCUAUUCGACCCCUUCAGCACCUUACGGGAAACUAAAGUCUUUGGGUUCCGGGGGGAGUAUGGUCGCAAGGCUGAAACUUAAA
rnacentral:rRNA from 1 species